rnacentral:rRNA from 1 species
CUACGGGGUGCACCAGUGAGGAAUAUUGCACAAUGGGGGGAACCCUGAUGCAGCAACGCCGCGUGGAGGAUGACGCAUUUCGGUGUGUAAACUCCUUUUAUAUGUCAAGAAAAUGACGGUAGCAUAUGAAUAAGCACCGGCUAACUCCGUGCCAGCAGCCGCGGUAAUACGGAGGGUGCAAGCGUUACUCGGAAUCACUGGGCGUAAAGGACGCGUAGGCGGGCUGGAAAGUCAGGUGUGAAAUCCUACAGCUUAACUGUAGAACUGCACUUGAAACUUCUAAUCUAGAGUAUGGGAGGGGGAGAUGGAAUGAGUGGUGUAGGGGUAAAAUCCGUAGAUAUCACUAGGAAUACCUAAAGCGAAGGCGAUCUCCUGGAACAUUACUGACGCUAAGGCGUGAAAGCGUGGGGAGCAAACAGGAUUAGAUACCCCUGUAGUC